rnacentral:misc_RNA from 1 species
UUUCCGUAGGUGAACCUGCGGAAGGAUCAUUCAUAAUAAAGUGUUUUAUGGCACUUUUUAAAAAUCCAUAUCCACCUUGUGUGCAAUGUUAGAUCUCGUCAAUCUUGGCGAGAUUUUUAUACAUCAACUCAUUCUUUAACUAAUUUGUCUGAAAAAUAUUAUGAAUACUCAAUUCAAAAUACAACUUUCAACAACGGAUCUCUUGGCUCUC